GGGGAUUUAGCUCAGUGGUUUCAGCGCAUGCCUUGCAAGCACAAGGACCUGAGUUCGAUCCCCAGUACCCCCC
rnacentral:tRNA from 1 species